rnacentral:rRNA from 1 species
GACGAGAGUGCUUGCACUCUCUGAAGUUAGCGGCGGACGGGUGAGUAACACGUGGGUAACCUACCUAUAAGACUGGGAUAACUUCGGGAAACCGGAGCUAAUACCGGAUAAUAUUUAGCUUCGCAUGAAGCAAUAGUGAAAGACGGUUCUGCUGUCACUUAUAGAUGGACCCGCGGUGUAUUAGCUAGUUGGUGAGGUAACGGCUCACCAAGGCAACGAUACAUAGCCGACCUGAGAGGGUGAUCGGCCACACUGGGACUGAGACACGGCCCAGACUCCUACGGGAGGCAGCAGUAGGGAAUCUUCCGCAAUGGACGAAAGUCUGACGGAGCAACGCCGCGUGAGUGAAGAAGGUUUUCGGAUCGUAAAACUCUGUUGUAAGGGAAGAACAAGUACGUUAGUAACUGAACGUACCUUGACGGUACCUUACCAGAAAGCCACGGCUAACUACGUGCCAGCAGCCGCGGUAAUACGUAGGUGGCAAGCGUUAUCCGGAAUUAUUGGGCGUAAAGCGCGCGUAGGCGGUCUCUUAAGUCUGAUGUGAAAGCCCCCGGCUCAACCGGGGAGGGUCAUUGGAAACUGGGAGACUUGAGUGCAGAAGAGGAGAGUGGAAUUCCAUGUGUAGCGGUGAAAUGCGCAGAGAUAUGGAGGAACACCAGUGGCGAAGGCGGCUCUCUGGUCUGUAACUGACGCUGAGGUGCGAAAGCGUGGGGAUCAAACAGGAUUAGAUACCCUGGUAGUCCACGCCGUAAACGAUGAGUGCUAAGUGUUGGGGGGUUUCCGCCCCUCAGUGCUGCAGCUAACG